rnacentral:rRNA from 1 species
UAAGGAAUAUUGCUCAAUGGGAGAAAUCCUGAAGCAGCAACGCCGCGUGGAGGAUGAAGGGUCUAUGACUUGUAAACUCCUGUAAAGAAGGAAAAAAUUCCCAUUAGAUGGGAGAUGAUGGUACUUCUGGAGCAAGCCCCGGCUAACUACGUGCCAGCAGCCGCGGUAAUACGUAGGGGGCAAGCGUUGUCCGGAUUUACUGGGUGUAAAGGGUGCUCAGGCGGAUUUGUAAGUCAGAGGUGAAAUCUUACAGCUUAACUGUGAAACUGCCUUUGAUACUGCAAGCCUAGAGUAUGGAAGAGAGUGAUGGAAUAUCUGGUGUAGCAGUGAAAUGCGUAGAUAUCAGAUAGAACACCAAUGGCGAAGGCAGUCACUUGGUCCAUUACUGACGCUAAAGCACGAAAGCGUGGGUAGCAAACA